rnacentral:rRNA from 1 species
AUUGAACGCUGGCGGCAGGCCUAACACAUGCAAGUCGAGCGGGGUUUUCGGACCUAGCGGCGGACGGGUGAGUAAUGCGUAGGAAGCUGCCCGAUAGAGGGGGAUACCAGUUGGAAACGACUGUUAAUACCGCAUAAUGUCUACGGACCAAAGUGUGGGACCUUCGGGCCACAUGCUAUCGGAUGCGCCUACGUGGGAUUAGCUAGUUGGUGAGGUAAUGGCUCACCAAGGCGACGAUCUCUAGCUGGUUUGAGAGGAUGAUCAGCCACACUGGAACUGAGACACGGUACAGACUCCUACGGGAGGCAGCAGUGGGGAAUAUUGGACAAUGGGCGCAAGCCUGAUCCAGCCGUGCCGCGUGUGUGAAGAAGGCCUUCGGGUUGUAAAGCACUUUCAGCGAGGAGGAAGGGUGGUGUGUUAAUAGCACAUCAUUUUGACGUUACUCGCAGAAGAAGCACCGGCUAACUCUGUGCCAGCCGCCGCCGUAAUAC